UUUUAUCGAUGUAUCAAUUGGUAUUUCUGGUCAACUGUAAGAUUGUUUAUAAUAAAGCUUUGCAUCUAGAUUGGUCAAUGCAGUCGGCUACCUGAAAUGGUAUUUGGAUUCCAAUGAAAAUUAAAUUUUCAGAUGAUAUGGAUUCAACCAUUUUGAUGGCCAAAGAUUCUAUGAGUUUCAGCUGUUGUCUUGCCAAUUCAUCUUGGUAAAUGAGUUUAAAAGUGCAAGGAUUUCAAAAGGUUAAUCAUUGGCACCUUCUUUUUGUAAAUCAUCUUUAUCAUUUAUGGCUUGUAUUAAACGCAAUCAUUAUCAAACUUCAUCAUUGGUGAUAAAUAGUGAAAGAAUGAUAAAUAAUGAUUGAUUUAAUAGAAAUGAUUCCAAGUGGAAAGCUGAAGGAACCAAACGAAUCAUUCAUGGAAACUCAUUUUUCUUUCAAGAAGAAAAAAAUGGAAGGGCAAAAAAUUCAAUUCUUCAACAUCUCUCUCUACAAAUCUUGUGUAUCAAUAUAAUCUCGUAACAAUUUUUGAUCUAAAAACCAACAUGGAAACCAGAGUAACUCGUUUGAUAUAAUAUAAAUUACAAGCGUUCAGAUUAAAAAUGAAAUAUAUUUCGUUUGGUGGUACAGGUUAUGUAAUAUAAAGAUAAAUAGCAUCAUCAUCAUAAUUAUCAAGAACAAGUUACGAAUUAAAGAAGCUAAAAUUACACUCUAAUGUCUUCUAAUUGUAACCCACACACUGACAUUCACCCAUAUGGAGAGCUGGAUCGCAUUUUGCUUUCAUUAUUAAUUGACCUUUGAUUGUCAAGAUAAUCAUCUAAAUAAUUGCCGUUUAUAACAAAAUCUUAAACCAAUAAGGUUUACAGUAAAUUGAGAGUUUAUUGUGAAAAUGAUUAAAUGAAUUACGUGUAAGGUUCCUGUUGUGAUUUUGCCCGAUUUACAAAUUGUUACUAAUAGUAUUAUUUUUACCAUUUAUUUUGCCCUCAAUGUUGCUGCUACACGACGAAAUGGUUGGAAUAGGAGAUUAUUUCAAACUAAACUUUGCCCCAUUUAUUAACAAUAUCAAGCAACAAGUCUGAUGACAAAUUAUUGUUAAUUUAUUGUAUCAUAUAAAUCAUUCAAGUUUA